rnacentral:piRNA from 1 species
UAGAAGAGAAAAAAUAAAAACCAGCAGC